rnacentral:rRNA from 1 species
UACGUAGGCAGCGAGCGUUGUUCGGAGUUACUGGGCGUAAAGGGCGCGUAGGUGGCGGAGCAAGUCAACGGUGAAAGCUCGACGCUCAACGUCGAGUCGGCCGUCGAGACUGCUUUGCUCGAGCACUGUAGAGGCAGAUGGAAUUCCGGGUGUAGCGGUGGAAUGCGUAGAGAUCCGGAAGAACACCGGUGGCGAAGGCGGCCCGCUGGGCAGAGACUGACGCUGAGGCGCGACAGCGUGGGGGAGCAAACGAGGGA